UACACAAGGAAAGCUGCCCACUUUGUGGC
rnacentral:piRNA from 1 species